GUAGGAAUAGCUCAGUGGUAGAGCACAUGCAUGCUUUUAGCAUGCACAAGGUCCUGGGUUCAAUCCCCAGUACCUCCA
rnacentral:tRNA from 1 species